GUGAAUCAUCGAAUCUUUGAACGCACCUUGCGCUCCUUGGUAUUCCGAGGAGCAUGCCCGUUUGAGUGUCAUGAAAUUCUCAACCUCUUCUUGCUUUGCGGCUUGAAGUAGGCUUGGAUUUGGGAGCUUGCUGGUUUAACAAUCGGCUCUCCUUGAAUGCAUUAGCUGGACUUUCCGAUUUAAUAGCGGUUCACGGUGUGAUAACUAUCUACGCCUGGUAAAUCCGUCUUUGAGUCUGGUCGAGCUUCUAAUCAGUUCGUCCUUCUGGACAAACACUUUUAAGAUCUGACCUCAAAUCAG
rnacentral:misc_RNA from 1 species